AAAACCUGCUAUUUUUAGAGAGUUAUCAUUUUGUUAAGAAAUAUUGUAUAUCUGGGAUUGUGAUUUAAAAAUUCGGAUAACAAGAGUUUUUCUUGAUAGGUGAGUAUGCUUUUUAGAAUUUUUGAUCAAUAGACUAUAAUUUUAAAAUAAAUUUUCCAAAACCUGCUAUUUUUAGAAAGUUAUCAUUUUGUUGAGAAAUAUUGUAGAUAUGAGAUUGUGAUUUAAAAAUUAGGAUAAGAGUUUUUCUUGAUAGAUGAGUAUGCUUUUGGAAUUUUUUGAUCAAUAGUUUCUAAUUUUUAAAUAAAUUUUUCAAAACCUGCUAUUUUUGGAAAGUUAUCAUUUUUUUGAUAAAUUUUGUAGAUUUGAGAUAGUGAUUUAUAAAUUAGGAUAACAAGAGUUUUUAUUGAUAAAUGGUAUGCUUUUAGAAUUUUUGAUCAAUGUGUUAUAUUUUUAAAAUAAUUUUUAAAAACUGCUAUGUUUUGGAAAGUUAUCAUUUUGUAGAAAAAUAUUAUAGAUUUGAGAUUGUGAUUUAGAAAUUAGGAAAACAAGAGUUUUUUUUUUGCUAGAUGGUUAUGCUUUCAAAAAUUUUGAUUAAUAGGUUAUAAGUUUUAAAUAGAUUUUCCAAAACUUGUUAUUUUUGGAAAUUUAUCUUUUUGAGGAGAAACAUUGUAGAUUUGGGAUUGUGAUUUAGAAAUUAGGAUAACAAGAGUUUUUGUUGAUAGUUGGGUAUGCUUUUAGAAUUUUGAUCAAUAGUUUAUAAUUUUUAAAUAAAUGUUUCAAAACCUGCAAUUUUUAGAAAGUUAUCAUUUUGUUGAGAAAUAUUGUAGGUUUGAGAUUUUGAUUUAGAAUUUAGAAUAACAAGAGUUUUUGUUGAUAGAUGGGUAUGCUUUUAGAAUUUUGAUCAAUGGGUUAUAAUUUUUAAAUAAAUUUUCCAAAACCUGCUAUUUUUAAAUAGUUUUCAUUUUGUAGGAUAAUAUUGUAGAUUUGGCAUUGUGAUUUAGAAAUUAGGAUAACAAGAGUUUUUGUUGAUAGAUAGGGAUGAAUUUAGAAUUUUUGAUCAAUAGAUUAUAUUUUUAAAAUAAUUUUUUUAAAAUUUUUAUAUUUGGAAAGUUAUCAUUUUGUAGAUAAAUAUUGUAGAUUUAAGAUUGUGAUUUAGAAAUUAGGAUAACGAGAGUUUUUGUUGAUAGAUGAGUAUGCUUUUAGAAUUUUGAUCAAUAGGUUAUAAUUUUUAUAUAAAAUUUUCAAAACCUGCUAUUUUUAGAAAGUUAUCAUUUUUGUUGAGAAAUAUUGUAUAUCUGGGAUUGUGAUUUAAAAAUUAGGAUAACAAGAGUUUUUGCUGAUAGAUGAGUAUGCUUUUUAGAAUUUUUGAUCAAUAGACUAUAAUUUUAAAAUAAAUUUUCCAAAACCUGUUAUUUUUGGAAAUUUAUCAUUUUAUUUAUAAAUAUUGUAGAUUUGUGAUAGUGAUUUAGAAAUUAGGAUAACAAGAGUUUUUGUUGAUAGAUGAGUAUGCUUUUAGAAUUUUUUGAUCAAUAUGUUAUAUUUUUAAAAUAAAUUUUUAAAAACUGGUAUAUUUGGAAAGUUAUCAUUUUGUAGAUAAAUAUUGUAGAUUUUGGAUUGUGAUUAUAAAUUAGAAUAACAAGAGUUUUUGUUUAUAGAUGAGUAUGCUUUUAGAAUUUUGAUCAAUAUGUUAUAUCUUGUAUAUAAAUUUUCCAAAACCUGCUAUUUUUAGAGAGUUAUCAUUUUGUUAAGAAAUAUUGUAUAUCUGGGAUUGUGAUUUAAAAAUUCGGAUAACAAGAGUUUUUCUUGAUAGGUGAGUAUGCUUUUUAGAAUUUUUGAUCAAUAGACUAUAAUUUUAAAAUAAAUUUUCCAAAACCUGUUAUUUUUGGAAAUUUAUCAUUUUAUUGAUAAAUAUUGUAGAUUUGUGAUAGUGAUUUAGAAAUUAGGAAAACAAGAGUUUUUGUUGAUAGAUGAGUAUGCUUUUAGAAUUUUUGAUCAAUAUGUUAUAUUUUUAAAAUAAAUUUUGAAAAACUGCUAUAUUUGGAAAGUUAUCAUUUUGUAGAUAAAUAUUGUAGAUUUGAGAUUGUGAUUUAGAUAUUAUGAUAACAAGAGUUUUUGUUGAUAGAUGAGUAUGUUUUUAGAAUUUUAAUCAAUAUGUUAUAUCUUGUAUAUAAAUUUUCCAAAACCUGCUAUUUUUAGAAAGUUAUCAUUUUGUAGAGAAAUAUUGUAAAUCUGGGAUUGUGAUUUAAAAAUUAGGAUAACAAGAGUUUUUCUUGAUAGGUGGUUAUGCUUUUGAAAUUUUUGAUCAAUAAGUUAUAAUUUUAAAUAAAUUUUCCAAAACCUGCUAUUUUUGGAAAGUUAUCAUUUUGUUGAUAAAUAUUGGAAAUUUGAUAUAGUGAUUUAGAAAUUAGGAUAUCAAGAGUUUUUGUUGAUAGAUGAGUAUGCUUUUAGAAUUUUUGAUCAAUAAAUUAUAUUUUUAAAAUAAAAUUUAAAAAACUGCUAUAUUUGGGAAGAAAUUAUUUUGUAGAUAAAUAUCGUAGAUUUGGGAUUGUGAUAUAAAAAUUAAGAUAACAAUAGUUUGUGUUAGCAGGUG
rnacentral:lncRNA from 1 species